rnacentral:rRNA from 1 species
AGAGUUUGAUCCUGGCUCAGGAUGAACGCUAGCGGCAGGCCUAAUACAUGCAAGUCGAACGAUACCAAUGGGCUUGCUCAUUGGGAAAGUGGCGCACGGGUGCGUAACGCGUAUGCAACCUACCUUAAUCAGGGGGAUAGCCCGAAGAAAUUCGGAUUAACACCGCAUAAAAACACAGUACAGCAUUGUACAAUGUUCAAAUAUUUAUAGGAUUAAGAUGGGCAUGCGUGUCAUUAGCUAGUUGGCGGGGUAACGGCCCACCAAGGCGACGAUGACUAGGGGAUCUGAGAGGAUGACCCCCCACACUGGUACUGAGACACGGACCAGACUCCUACGGGAGGCAGCAGUAAGGAAUAUUGGUCAAUGGAGGCAACUCUGAACCAGCCAUGCCGCGUGCAGGAAGACAGCCCUCUGGGUCGUAAACUGCUUUUAUUCGGGAAUAAACCACAUUACGUGUAAUGUGCUGAAUGUACCGAAGGAAUAAGGAUCGGCUAACUCCGUGCCAGCAGCCGCGGUAAUACGGAGGAUCCAAGCGUUAUCCGGAUUUAUUGGGUUUAAAGGGUGCGUAGGCGGCUUAUUAAGUCAGGGGUGAAAGACGGUGGCUCAACCAUCGCAGUGCCUUUGAUACUGAUGAGCUUGAAUACACUAGAGGUAGGCGGAAUGUGACAAGUAGCGGUGAAAUGCAUAGAUAUGUCACAGAACACCGAUUGCGAAGGCAGCUUACUAUGGUGUGAUUGACGCUGAGGCACGAAAGCGUGGGGAUCAAACAGGAUUAGAUACCCUGGUAGUCCACGCCCUAAACGAUGAAUACUCGCUGUUAGCGAUAUACAGUUAGCGGCUAAGCGAAAGCGUUAAGUAUUCCACCUGGGGAGUACGCCCGCAAGGGUGAAACUCAAAGGAAUUGACGGGGGCCCGCACAAGCGGAGGAGCAUGUGGUUUAAUUCGAUGAUACGCGAGGAACCUUACCCGGGCUUGAAAGUUAGUGAAUCAUUUAGAGAUAGAUGAGUCCGCAAGGACACGAAACUAGGUGCUGCAUGGCUGUCGUCAGCUCGUGCCGUGAGGUGUUGGGUUAAGUCCCGCAACGAGCGCAACCCCUAUGUUUAGUUGCCAGCACGUUAUGGUGGGGACUCUAAACAGACUGCCUGUGCAAACAGAGAGGAAGGAGGGGACGACGUCAAGCCAUCAUGGCCCUUACGUCCGGGGCUACACACGUGCUACAAUGGAUGGUACAGAGGGCAGCAAGCUGGCAACAGCAAGCGAAUCUCAGAAAGCCAUUCACAGUUCGGAUAGAGGUCUGCAACUCGACCUC